CUUCGAUGUCAUGCGGCAAUGGCACGAGGACGAAAAAAUGCCGUUCGACAAGUUCGUGAUCGGCGACGGCCUGCACAUGAACGACUGGGGCUACGCGUGCUUCGCCCAGUUGCUCGGCGACACCAUCAUCAAGUCGGUCGGACAGGUGAAGGCCGGCGUCAACAUUCCGGCAAACGUGAUGACCUUCCGGCCGAUNNNUCAGCCUGCCUUCGAUGCACGUCUGCGUCUCGCCGCCGAUCCAGAUGUCGUGACCAUCACG
rnacentral:misc_RNA from 1 species